UAGUAACGGCGAGUGAAGCGGUAACAGCUCAAAUUUGAAAUCUGGCUCCCUGCGGAGUCCGAGUUGUAAUUUGUAGAAGAUGCUUUGGGUGCACGACCCGGCCUAAGUGCCUUGGAACAGGACGUCRUAGAGGGUGAGAAUCCCGUAUGCGGCCGGCGUCGACGCCCRUGUAAAGCUCUUUCGACGAGUCGAGUUGUUUGGGAAUGCAGCUCAAAAUGGGUGGUAAAUUUCAUCUAAAGCUAAAUAUGGGCCAGAGACCGAUAGCGCACAAGUAGAGUGAUCGAAAGAUGAAAAGCACUUUGGAAAGAGAGUUAAACAGUACGUGAAAUUGUUGAAAGGGAAGCGCUUGCAACCAGACUUGGGCGUCGCUGAUCAUCCAAAGUUCUCUUUGGUGCACUCGACGACGCACAGGCCAGCAUCGGUUGGGGUGGUGGGAGAAAGACUGYAGGAACGUAGCUCUUUUCGGAGAGUGUUAUAGCCUGCGGUGCAAUACCGCCUACCUCGACCGAGGACCGCGCUUCGGCUAGGAUGCUGGCGUAAUGGUUGUAAGCGACCCGUCUUGAAACACGGACCAAGGAGUCUAACAUCUAUGCGAGUGUUUGGGUGCGAAACCCAUGCGCGAAAUGAAAGUGAACGUAGGUGAGAACCCUUUGAGGGGGCAUCAUCGACCGAUCCUGAUGUCUUCGGAUGGAUUUGAGUAAGAGCAUAGCUGUGGGA
rnacentral:rRNA from 1 species